GACGAACGCUGGCGGCGUGCCUAAUACAUGUAAGUUGAGCGAUGAAGAUUGGUGCUUGCACCCAUUUGAAGAGCAGCGAACGGGUGAGUAACGCGUGGGGAAUCUGCCUUUGAGCGGGGGACAACAUUUGGAAACGAAUGCUAAUACCGCAUAAUAACUUUAAACAUAAGUUUUAAGUUUGAAAGAUGCAAUUGCAUCACUCAAAGAUGAUCCCGCGUUGUAUUAGCUAGUUGGUGAGGUAAAGGCUCACCAAGGCGAUGAUACAUAGCCGACCUGAGAGGGUGAUCGGCCACAUUGGGACUGAGACACGGCCCAAACUCCUACGGGAGGCAGCAGUAGGGAAUCUUCGGCAAUGGACGAAAGUCUGACCGAGCAACGCCGCGUGAGUGAAGAAGGUUUUCGGAUCGUAAAACUCUGUUGGUAGAGAAGAACGUUGGUGAGAGUGGAAAGCUCAUCAAGUGACGGUAACUACCCAGAAAGGGACGGCUAACUACGUG
rnacentral:rRNA from 1 species